AUGAUUUGUACGGGAGGACAACCAGACACAGUUGUUUAUCAGUCCCUAAUUAGGGGGUUUUGUAUAAAUGAUGAUUUGGUUAAAGCUAAGGAGUUGGUUUCUGAAAUGAUAAACAAAGGUAUUCCUAGUCCUGAUAUAGUGUUCUUCAGUUCAGUAAUACAGAGUCUAUGCAUCGAAGGAAGGGUUAUGGAUGCACACGAUAUCUUACACUUGGUUAUACACAUAGGUGAGAGACCUGGUGUCCUUUUAUUUAACUCUCUGGUCAAUGGAUGUUGCUUAGCCGGCAAGGUGNNNNNNNNNNAUAAACUCUCAGAUUACUUGAUGCCAAUACCAUGGAAUCAGUUGGAGCAUAAAGUUGUUACUUACAGUACACUUCCUGAUUGCUACUGUAAAAUGGAAAGAUCAAUAAUGGUUCGACUCUGUUCAAAGAAAUCUGGCGUAAGAGAAUUACACCCGAACUGUUACAUAUGGCAUCGUACUGGAUGGGUUUUCCGUGCUGGGAGAACUGUUGCUGCAAGAAAAAUGUUCCAUGAGAUGACCGAAAGUGGAAUAGCAGUGAGCAUUUCCAUA
rnacentral:rRNA from 1 species